UACGAAGGGAGCUAGCGUUGUUCGGAAUUACUGGGCGUAAAGCGCAUGCAGGCGGAUCGUUAAGUCGGGGGUGAAAUCCCGAGGCUCAACCUCGGAACUGCCUUCGAUACUGGAGAUCUUGAGACCGGAAGAGGUAAGUGGAACUGCGAGUGUAGAGGUGAAAUUCGUAGAUAUUCGCAAGAACACCAGUGGCGAAGGCGGCUUACUGGUCCGGUUCUGACGCUGAGGCGCGAAAGCGUGGGGAGCAAACAGG
rnacentral:rRNA from 1 species